CCUGCGGAAGGAUCAUUACCUAGAGUUGUAGGCUUUGCCUACCAUCUCUUACCCAUGUCUUUUGAGUACCUUCGUUUCCUCGGCGGGUCCGCCCGCCGAUUGGACAAACUUAAACCCUUUGUAAUUGAAAUCAGCGUCUGAAAAAACAUAAUAGUUACAACUUUCAACAACGGAUCUCUUGGUUCUGGCAUCGAUGAAGAACGCAGCGAAAUGCGAUAAGUAGUGUGAAUUGCAGAAUUCAGUGAAUCAUCGAAUCUUUGAACGCACAUUGCGCCCCUUGGUAUUCCAUGGGGCAUGCCUGUUCGAGCGUCAUUUGUACCUUCAAGCUCUGCUUGGUGUUGGGUGUUUGUCUCGCCUUUGCGUGUAGACUCGCCUUAAAACAAUUGGCAGCCGGCGUAUUGAUUUCGGAGCGCAGUACAUCUCGCGCUUUGCACUCAUAACGACGACGUCCAAAAAGUACUUUUUACACUCUUGACCUCGGAUCAGGUAGGGAUACCCGCUGAACUUAAGCAUAUCA
rnacentral:rRNA from 1 species